GGAUUGUGGCUCAGCGGUAGAGCGCUCGCCUAGUGCGCGCGGGACCCGGGUUCAGUUUCCUGCACCA
rnacentral:tRNA from 1 species